rnacentral:lncRNA from 1 species
UUUUGCUUUUGGUACUGUCCUUGGUUUAAUUCUUGGGUUGAUAUUUCAAAAUUGCUUAAUGCAGGUAUCCUUGUUGCUUGUGUUUAAAACCCUUGUGGAAUGAUUGUUUUUCAGAGGUCCCUUCCAGAUAUGGCUUGUGUUUAGGUUUUGAGGCUCUAAUGACUCUGAGGCUAUUUUAUUUUCAUUAUACCAAGAAGGAAAACUGAUUAGAUCAAUCACAACAUGUUAGGUCAAAUGUUACAAUCAGCAAUACCAUAGCAUCAAGCGCAGCUUAGAAAACGACAAUUUGUGGUAGUUAUUAAUCUAUCACAUUUAACUAUGUGAAGUAUGAUCCUCUGUGCCUCUGUGCCUCUGUAGUGAGGGACCAGGUAGCAGACGAGCCAUAAGGUGGAGGGGAUAGAAGUGGGUCGUGGCAACGGCUAGCGGAGCACCGGAUGAAGGUGUAGCUCAGGCCCCUCCCGGGACCCCACCGUGCUGCAGACAGGAACCGGAUCACAGCCAAGAGCCCCAGGGUGCCUGGCCUACCGGAGGAGAGAAGUCCCAGAUAAAGGCGGGGCUCCAAGCCGCUCCCGGGACCUCACCGUGCCUCGGACCUGGAUACUGAUUUCUGUGUAUCAAAGCAUGCUUAAUUAUGCUAUUGAAGUCUACUUUGUGCAACUUGGUAUUAGCGUCUUUGAGCUGGCACAUUCUGACCGUGAAUUGACUUUCUGCGGCUGGUUUUGUAAGAUUAAUAAUUAGUAGGCUCUUUGCAGUUGUAAUAGGUUUAACUGUAUGGGUUUCGUUUAUCCCACUCCUAGGUGCUCCUGUUCUUAAUCUCUUGGCGAGUGUGGGGUGGAUGUGGGUGUGGGUGUGGGCAGAGUGUAGCACCCUCUUUGUUCCCAGUGCCAUCCCUCUGUCCUGCCAGAGCUGAUGCUCAGUUCACAUUCACCUUCUCUAUGCUGGCAUCUGGGCCCUCCUCGCUGUGCUUGUGUCCCUGCUUCAGGAGGCUCCCACUGGGUUUUCCUCUUGGGAAAAGAGAUGCAGCCUGGCCUACCAGGUGCCCUGGCCGCUCUCAGCUUGGGCUGUACCUGCCCUUGUAUCGAUUUGACUUUUCUACUUAAAUUUUCCAUUCCUGACUUUUGCCCUUCGAGCAGUAGAGCGUGCUUUGGUGCUGAUCUGCAUGUCGCUGCUGCUGUUAGGCUGCCCACUCCCCUCAUGGGUGUGCAAGUUCUGUCACUGUACUUGGUCUUGAGUUCUCUGUCUUGAGUGAUCCGACCCGCUUUCCUCCAUAGACAGGACAGCCGACAUGCUCUUUUUUCCUUCUUCCCAAUGCUCAGCAUUGUUUAUAAAGAAACUGGAUGUCUCCGCUCAGCUUGUUAUGAUUUUGUUUUUAUGGUUUUCCUGUGUUCAUGGCUGUAGUUAACUUGGAUUUGCACUGUGAACACCGAAUUCUGUGUUUGAUGCUGAUUCCAUUGCACAGCGCUGUUUCCUGGGGCAGCGCUUCCCCUUUUAGGGGUUUUAUCCUUUUAGUCAGAAAGUGUGAGGAAACACGUUUGUGGAGAAGCUAGUUUUCCAGGCAGGGAGGGCUGCUGUCUGCAGGUCUCUGAGCCUCCCCUCCGCAUCCUGCCCAGAUUGUGACUGCAGCGCCAGCGGGGACUGAGGACAACGCCUGCCGGAAGGACCCAGGGGUUGGUCACUGCGUGUGCAAACCCAACUUCCGGGGUGCCCACUGUGAGCUCUGUGCUCGGGGUUCUACGGACCGAGCUGCCAGCCAUGCCAGUGCUCCAGUCCCGGGGUGGCCAAUGGCCUCUGUGACCCCAACUCUGGCCAGUGCAGGUGUCGCAUAGGCUUUGAGGGGCUGCCUGCGAUCACUGUGCCCCCCGGCUACUUCCAUUUCCUCUGUGCCAGCUGUGUGGAUGCAGCCCUGCAGGGACCUUGCCCGAGGGCUGUGAUGAAGCUGGCCGCUGCCUGUGCCGGCCCGGGUUUGAUGGCCCCCACUGUGACCGCUGCCGCCCAGGCCACCACAGUUACCCCAGCUGCCAUGCCUGCGCCUGUGACCCCAGGGGUCCCUGGACCAGCUCUGCGGGGGCAGGUGGUUUGUGCCGCUGCCGCCCGGCUACAUGGGUGCCACCUGCCAGGAGUGCAGCGCUGGGUUCCAUGGCUUCCACGCCUGCAUCCCCUGCCACUGCUCCACUGACGGCUCCCUGCACUCAGCCUGUGACCCCCGGACAGGCCAGUGCAGCUGCCGGCCCCGUGUGGCGGGGCUGCGGUGUGACGUGUGUGUGCCUGGUGCCUACAACUUCCCCUACUGCGAAGCUGGCUCCUGUCACCCUGCUGGCCUGGCCCCCUGGCCAAUCCCAACCCUCAUGAGGGUCCGUGUGUGUCCCGGGCUCAUGUGGAGGGCCGAGCUGUGACCGCUGCAAACCUGGCUUCUGGGGGCUGAGCCCCAGCAACCCCGAGGGCUGCACUCGCUGCAGCUGUGACCCCAGGGGCACACUGGGUGGAGUCUCGAGUGCCAGCCGGUGAGUCUUAGGGGGGUUUGGCUCCCAGGGUGAGGUGGGUUGACACCACCGCCCGGUCCCACUUUGCCGUGGCCCCAGGGCAGUGGCCAGUGCUUCUGCAAGCCCCAUGUGUGUGGCCAGACCUGUGCA